AUUGAACGCUGGCGGCAGGCCUAACACAUGCAAGUCGAGCGGAUGACGGGGGCUUGCUCCUUGAUUCAGCGGCGGACGGGUGAGUAAUGCCUAGGAAUCUGCCUGGUAGUGGGGGACACCGUUUCGAAAGGAACGCUACUACCGCAUACGUCCUACGGGAGAAAGCAGGGGACCUUCGGGCCUUGCGCUAUCAGAUGAGCCCAGGUCGGAUUAGCUAGCAGGUGAGGUAAUGGCUCACCUAGGCGACGAUCCGUAACUGGUCUGAGAGGAUGAUCAGUCACACUGGAACUGAGACACGGUCCAGACUCCUACGGGAGGCAGCAGUGGGGAAUAUUGGACAAUGGGCGAAAGCCUGAUCCAGCCAUGCCGCGUGUGUGAAGAAGGUCUUCGGAUUGUAAAGCACUUUAAGUUGGGAGGAAGGGCAGUAGCUAAUACCUUGCUGUUUUGACGUUACCGACAGAAUAAGCACCGGCUAACUCUGUGCCAGCCGCCGCAGUAAGAC
rnacentral:rRNA from 1 species